GCAAGAAAAGGGAUUAAGGGAAGGUAGGUUUGGGCUUUUGCGUUGUAAGUGCCCAAUGGAUCAACAAGGCCAUCCCGAAAAGAGCAGAAGGAGGAGGCGUUGGUGACGCACGCUUUCGAAUAGGCCACAGGAGGAGAGGUUGGGAAGCGAUUUUAGCGGGAGUCUAUGGCAGGAUCCCCGGAGGUACGAUGGCCAGCCGUGCCGAUUUCGCCUUUCGCCCGUGGUGGGAAGAUUAAUCAAAAUUAAAAUUAAAAUGGGAAUUAAGUAUUAAUUCACUUCACUGGUCUGUCUGUCGCAAGAAAAGCGUUUUGCUUAAAAGCAUUUAAAGUGCUUUGUGAAUGUGAGCUACGUAACGUCCGUCCAUAACGGAUCAGUAAGAAUUACAGCAGGUAGGUAAAGGUAUUUUGAAAGUGGGAGGGAAAGAGGCGGCGUGGCCUCAGUGUUAAAAAAAAAAAAAAAAAUGCACUUAAACUCUGAAGACCUCGGUUCUAAUCCCGAUCCAGAUCGCCUCUUCACUGACGCCUAGAGAGUUUGAGCUCUGAGAUAUUAUCGAGCUUGUUAAGGUUUCGGAAGUCUCAGCUGACUGCUGGAAUUGGGGAAGUCUGCAGUCUUGAAUUUAAAUCCACAAGAAUUGAUUCUUGAGCAAUUCCAUAACACUAGGAGGGCGAGUUGAUAUGCCCAGGAAGGUGUUACUACUAAACUUGUAAAGAAUGACAACUAUGGCCUGAGAUACUGAACUAGUUCAGCCUACGUUGAGAAAAUUCUAAAAGUUUUGCUAAGGUUAUCUGAAGAAUUUUUAAAACUGAAGACUAGUUUUUUUAGUUUUGUACUGCAUCUGCAAAUCAUUUUGGAAGCCCUACACAGUAGAGCUUUCACCUGAACUACUUUGCAAUAGGUUUCAAAUUGGUCUCCUUACCUUUAGUCUUUUCCUUCUUCAAAUCAUCUUCCAAAUACACAACCAUAAUAACACGGCACUGCCUUUUUUGUUAGCUUUAUUUUGUACUUCAAACAUUGUGGCCAAAUUGGACUUUUAGCUAUUACUCAGACAUCUUUAAUGAGAUUAUUUUUCACCAGUUGUCUCCUCUUUGAAAUCUUCAAAAGAUCCAAAUUACUUGCACCCUCCUAGAAGU